rnacentral:rRNA from 1 species
UACGAAGGGUGCAAGCGUUAAUCGGAAUUACUGGGCGUAAAGCGCACGUAGGCGGCUUUGCAAGUCAGAGGUGAAAGCCCGGGGCUCAACCCCGGAAUUGCCUUUGAGACUGCAUCGCUAGAAUUGUGGAGAGGUAAGUGGAAAUUCCGAGUGUAGAGGUGAAAUUCGUAGAUAUUCGGAAGAACACCAGUGGCGAAGGCGGCUCACUGGUCCGGUACUGACGCUGAGGGUGCGAAAAGCGUGGGGGAGCAAAACAGGG